CCGAUGAAUGUGUGAUCAUUAAUUGACCAGUGUGAACUGUCCAACAGAUCUUUAGGGGUCGGCACAGGUAGAAGUGGUCGUUAAAUGGUGGAUAUUCCUUCCAGCAGCCCCGCCAUUGUGUGUUACUAUGCAUAUUGAACGUAAAGGACUGAGAGAACGUAUCUUCAUGAUCACCAUGAAAGGAAAAACUUUUAAAGAAAGAGACAAACAACUUUUGACGGUGGAUCUCUUGGCUCACGUAUCGAUGAAGAACGCAGCCAGCUGCGAUAUGUAGUGUGAAUUGCAGAAUUCAGUGAAUCAUUGAAUCUUUGAACGCAAAUGGCGCUCUUGGGUUCUCCCAGGAGCAUGUCUGUCUGAGUGUCGGAUUUUAUCGAACGCACACUCACUCGUGAGUGUGCGGUAUUGAGGUGUCACGGCGUGAAGAAUCAGUGUAUUAAUGAUCGCCGUGUCCCUUGAAGAGCAGCAGCAGCAGCAGCGUUCUCUAUUGAAACUUGAGUGCGAAGGCUAAAGAUAUUGCUAUUUUCCUUCGCUCCAGGUUGGUUUAGGGUUGUUGGGUUGCUGAAAAAGAGAAACAAAACAAAUCCAAUCAAUCUUGACCUCAGAUCAGGCAAGGCUACCCGCUGAAUUUAA
rnacentral:rRNA from 1 species